AACCCGCCUGCGUGAAGUCGGAAUCGCUAGUAAUCGCGGAUCAGAAUGCCGCGGUGAAUACGUUCCCGGGCCUUGUACACACCGCCCGUCACACCAUGAGAGUCGGGAACACCCGAAGUCCGUAGUCUAACUAGCAAUAGAGGGCGCGGCCGAAGGUGGGUUCGAUAAUUGGGGUGAAGUCGUAACAAGGUAGC
rnacentral:rRNA from 1 species